rnacentral:rRNA from 1 species
GCUCAGAAACUUAAAGGGAAUUAGACGGGGGGCCCGCACAAGCGGUGGAGCGAUGUGGUUUAAUUCGAUGAUACGCGAGGAACCUUACCUGGGCUCAAAUGUAUGUUGACGUAUUCUGAAAGGGAUACUUCUUCGGACAAUAUACAAGGUGCUGCAUGGUUGUCGUCAGCUCGUGCCGUGAGGUGUCGGGUUAAGUCCCAUAACGAGCGCAACCCCUAUCAUUAGUUGCCAUCAGGUCAAGCUGGGGACUCUAAUGAAACUGCCUACGCAAGUAGUGAGGAAGGUGGGAUGACGUCAAAUCAGCACGGCCCUUACGUCCAGGGCUACACACGUGCUACAAUGGCCGGUACAAAGGGCAGCUACCUGGUGACAGGAUGCUAAUCUCAAAAGCCGGUCUCAGUUCGGAUCGGAGUCUGCAACCCGACUCCGUGAAGCUGGAAUCGCUAGUAAUCGCGCAUCAGCCAUGGCGCGGUGAAUACGUUCCCGGGCCUU